UGACCUCAGAUCAGAUGUGGUGACCCGCUGAAUUUAAGCAUAUAACCAAGCGGAGGAAAAGAAACAAAACAGGAUUCACUCAGUAAUGGUGAGUGAAGAGGGAAGAGCCCAGUGCCAAAUCCCCGCCUGGGCGAUGGGCGCUGGGAAAUCUGGCGUACGGAAGUCUGUCUCCCCGGUGCCACCCAGGGGGCCCAAGUCCUUGUGAUCGAGGCUCAGCCCAUGGAUGGUGUGAGGCUGGUUGCAGCCCCCAGCACUUCAGGAUCAGGUCUUCCCGGAGUUGGGUUGCUUGUGAUUGUUUGUGAAUGCAGCCCAAAGCGGGUGGAAAACUCCAUCUAAGGCUAAACACCAACACGAGACUGAUAGUGGACAAGUAUCAUAAGGGAAAGUUGGAGGAUUCAACCCGGCGGCCGUGCUGGCCGUCUGGGCAAGGCAGAUCCCCCUCCCCCACUGGAUACUGUUGGGCACACUUCCUCAGAGGUGGUGUGCCGCAGCCGGCUCUGGGUCAGCCAGGAAGGCCACGUGGAAGGUGGCUCCCCUCCCCGGAGGGGAGUGUUACAGCCUGUGACAUCAGCCCUCGCUAUGCCACGGGGUCGUGGGAGAUGACCGCCACCGCACCCACCCCAGCCCCCGGUGGGACUGUCAACUGGGCUGGACUACCCUCAAUGCAGCCUGCCUGCAUUCCGCCGCCAGGCUGACGGGCUCACCUCGGGUGCCUGGGGUCCACGGCAAUGUCAGUGACCCACCCGUCCCAUCUUGAAACAUGGACCAUGGAGUCUAACAGGUGCGUGAGUCCGAGGGUGGGCAGGAGACCCCAUGACACAAUGAAAGUGAGAGCCAGCGUGCGCCGGCUGAGGUGGAAUCCCCUGCUCCAUACGGGGGGCGCACCGCCGGCCCAUCUCACCCAUCCCGUCGGGGAGGUGGAUCAUGAAUGCACCUGGUGGGACCUGAAAGAUGGUGAACUAUGCCUGGGCAGGGUGAAGCCAGAGGAAACUCUGGUAGAGGUCUGUAGCGGUUCUGAUAUGCAAAUCAGUCAUCCGACCUGGGUUUAGGGGCAAAAGACUAAUUGAACCAUGUAGUAGCUGGUUCCCUCCGAAGUUUCCCUUAGGAUAGCUAGUGCUUGGCGGACGCAGUUUUAUCUGGUAAAGCAAAUGAUUAGAGGCCUUGGGUCCGAAAUGAUCUCAACCUAUUCUCAAACUUUAAAUGGGUAAGAAGCCCGACUCACUGGCUUGGAGCUGGGCAUGGAAUGCGAGCACCCAGUGGGCCACUUUUGGUAAGCAGAACUGGUGCUGUGGGAUGAACCAAAUGCCAGGUUAAGGUGCCUGAUGCCGACGCUCAUUAGACCCCAGAAAAGGUGUUGGUUUAUAUAGACAGCAGGAUGGUGGCCAUGGAAGUCGGAAUCUGCUAAGAAGUAUGUAACAACUCACCUGCCGAAUCAACUAGCCCUGAAAAUGGAUGGCACUAGAGCAUCAGGACCAUACCCGGCCAUCACCAGCGCUGGGAGCCGAGGGGGCUACGCCACGACGAGUAGGAGGGCCACCGCAGUGGAACUGAAGCUCAGGGCGAGGGCCCAGGUGGAGCCGCCGUGGGUGCAGAUCUUGGUGGUAGUAGCAAAUAUUUAAACGAGAGCUUUGAAGGCCAAAGUGUAGAAGGGUUCCAUGUGAACAGCAGUUGAACAUGGGUCAGUCGGUCCUGAGAGAUAGGUGAGCACCAUUCUGAAGGGACGGGCAAUGACCUCCAUCACCCUCGUCUGAUCAAAAGGGAGUCGGAUUCAGAUCCCCGAAUCCAGAUCGUCAGAGAUGGGCGCCUCACAGCAUCCAAUGCGGUGAUGCAAACUAUCCCAGAGAAGCCGGUGGGGGCCCCUGGGAGAGUUCUCUUUUCUUUGUAAAGGGUGGGGCAACGUGGAAUGGGCUCGCCCCAAGAUAGGGGCCCAUGCCAUGGAAAGCGUCGUAGUUCAGGCAGCGUCAGGUGAGCUCUCUCCGGCCCUUGAAAAUCCGAGGGAGAGGGUGUAAGUCUCGUGCUGGGCCAUACCCAUAUCUGCUGCAGGUCUCCAAGGUGAACAGCCUCUGGCAUAUUAGAACAAUGUAGGUAAGGGAAGUUGGCAAGCCAGAUCCGUAACUUCAGGAUAAGGAUUGGCUGUAAGGGCUGGGUCGGUUGGGCUCGGGUGUGAAGUGGGGCUGGGUGCAUGCCGAGGCUGGACAAGGUGUUGCCAGCCCUCACCAUGCUCCCCCCUCCUGGGGGGGCCGGCAGGUAUAGCGGCGGUGACUCUGGACACAUGCCGGGCCCUUCCGUGGAUCACCCUGGCUGUGGUGGGUGCCGGUCCCAACCGGCGUCGCGCAUCGUCUGGCAGCUAGCAGGUGACUUAGAACUGGUGUGGACCGGGGGAAUCCGACUGUUUAAUUAAAACAAAGCAUCGCGAAGACCCAAGACAGGUAUUGAUGCAAUGUGAUUUCUGUCCAGUGCUCUGAAUGUCAAAGUGAAGAAAUUCAAUGAAGUGCAGGUA